rnacentral:misc_RNA from 1 species
ACAAGCAUAUGACUACUGGCAGGAUCAACCAGGUAGCAUUCCGUGUCGACUUUUGGCGCCGCAUGGACGUAUCCAAAACAACACCAAUUGUCAUUCGCACAUAGCGUGGGACGCUUUUUUAGAGGGGCAAAUAGAGACCGAUGAUGCCUCGUACCCACGAGGUACUCCGUGACCGAGAGAACGAACGUUGUGCCGUUGUUCCGACAACCCACCCAAUGACAUUGAAGCAAUGGGGGUUGUGGAGCAUGGCAUUUGAUUCGGAGUUCACCUCUUGUACCACGAACCCGAGGGGCUCGAGAAACUUGAGGCGAAAGGACGUCWUUGAUCCAACGAAUUCCCACACUUUGGGUAUAGAACACAGGAAAACCGAGCUCGGCCAAGAUGAUGUUCCUACUCUUGAACCAAUCACUGAAAAGGCAUGCCGGAUACGUUUUCGCUGCGCAAGCAGGGACUCAACGUACCCAUACACACCGACCACCACUCACGCG